rnacentral:rRNA from 1 species
UGGGGAAUUUUGGACAAUGGGGGCAACCCUGAUCCAGCCAUGCCGCGUGAGUGAAGAAGGCCUUCGGGUUGUAAAGCUCUUUCGGCCGGGAAGAAAUCGCAUGGGUUAAUACCCUGUGUGGAUGACGGUACCGGAAUAAGAAGCACCGGCUAACUACGUGCCAGCAGCCGCGGUAAUACGUAGGGUGCGAGCGUUAAUCGGAAUUACUGGGUGUAAAGCGUGCGCAGGCGGUUUAGUAAGACAGGCGUGAAAUCCCCGGGCUCAACCUGGGAACUGCGCUUGUGACCGCUAAGCUAGAGUACGGCAGAGGGGGGUGGAAUUCCACGUGUAGCAGUGAAAUGCGUAGAGAUGUGGAGGAACACCGAUGGCGAAGGCAGCCCCCUGGGCCGAUACUGACGCUCAUGCACGAAAGCGUGGGUAGCAAACA